UUGACUCUCCAACCGUCUUCCAACCUUUACGAGUCUUCGAGCUCUGAAAGACAGAGAAAAAAGUGGGGUAAGCAUUUUCAUGCUUAGUAAGCUCAAAUAACCAGAAAGUAAACUUACCAAGAAAUUAGCAUACAUUCAUAAAGAUAAGGAAACCAACAAGUAUGAAGCGGCUUCCUAUCACAUGCACUCAACCAUUGAGUUAGUCACAUAACAAAGCACCAUGUAAUUCAUCUUGGAUGAGCUCAUCAUUCAACAUUUCAUUUUGUA
rnacentral:lncRNA from 1 species